UACGGAGGGUGCAAGCGUUAUCCGGAUUCACUGGGUUUAAAGGGUGCGUAGGCGGGCAGGUAAGUCCGUGGUGAAAUCUCUGAGCUUAACUCAGAAACUGCCAUGGAUACUAUUUGUCUUGAAUAUUGUGGAGGUAAGCGGAAUAUGUCAUGUAGCGGUGAAAUGCUUAGAUAUGACAUAGAACACCAAUUGCGAAGGCAGCUUACUACACAGUUAUUGACGCUGAGGCACGAAAGCGUGGGGAGCAAACAGG
rnacentral:rRNA from 1 species